CUCCUAUUUAAACCUGCUUCAGUGCUCUUCAUUGCGUGCUGUUGUAGGCCGGUACAAUUACUUUGAACAAAUUAGAGUGCUUAAAGCAGGCUCCAAAUGCCUGAAUAUUUUGUGCAUGGAAUAAUGAAAUAAGACCUCUGUUCUACUUUCAUUGGUUUUUAGAUCAAGAGGUAAUGAUUAAUAGAAGCAGUUUGGGGGCAUUAGUAUUACGACGCGAGAGGUGAAAUUCUUGGACCGUCGUAAGACUAACUUAAGCGAAAGCAUUUGCCAAAGAUGUUUUCAUUAAUCAAGAACGAAAGUUAGAGGUUCGAAGGCGAUCAGAUACCGCCCUAGUUCUAACCAUAAACGAUGCCAGCUAGCAAUUGGGUGUAGCUACUAUUAUGGCUCUCUCAGUCGCUUCCCGGGAAACCAAAGCUUUUGGGCUCCGGGGGAAGUAUGGUUGCAAAGCUGAAACUUAAAGGAAUUGACGGAAGGGCACCACCAGGAGUGGAGCCUGCGGCUUAAUUUGACCCAACACGGGAAAACUUACCAGGUCCGAACAUAAGCGUGUAAGACAGAUUGAUAGCUCUUUCUCGAAUCUAUGGGUGGUGGUGCAUGGCCGUUCUUAGUUCGUGGAGUGAUUUGUCUGGUUAAUUCCGAUAACGAACGAGACUCAAAUAUAUUAAAUAGAUGCUUUCAGGAUUAUGGUGUUUGAAGCUUUUAUAGCCUUCAUUCAUGAAUGCAGUAACAUGUGUGAGUGUUUGAAUGUGUUUAUAAAGGUGGAGCCGUACCUGUUGGUUUGUCCCAUUAUAAGGACACUAGCUUCUUAAAUGGACAAAUUGCGUCUAGCAAUAAUGAGAUUGAGCAAUAACAGGUCUGUGAUGCCCUUAGAUGUCCUGGGCUGCACGCGCGCUACAAUGAAAGUAUCAACGUGUAUUUCCUAGACCGAGAGGUCCGGGUAAACCGCUGAACCACUUUCAUGCUUGGGAUUGUGAACUGAAACUGUUCACAUGAACUUGGAAUUCCCAGUAAGUGUGAGUCAUUAACUCGCAUUGAUUACGUCCCUGCCCUUCGUACACACCGCCCGUCGCUACUACCGAUUGAAUUAUUUAGUGAGGUCUCCGGACGUGAUCACUGUAACGCCUCGCGUGUUACGGAUGUUUCGCAAAAGUUGACCGAACUUGAUUAUUUAGAGGAAGUAAAAGUC
rnacentral:rRNA from 1 species